CCAAAAGUAAAGAAUAAGGUUAACAGGUUAAGCUUCUUCCAAAAGUCGGCCACAUUAUUUCAUUUAUUAUCGAAAUAUUUUUGCUUUUACCUUUCUUUGCUGCAUCAUGAAUGGCCCUUGGUCAGCAGUAAUCGGCAGCAGCCAAUUCAAGAAAAAUUCACACAAAACCAUAAUCUUGAAAAGUUCCAAUCCAUGAUUAUUUCUUGCCUGUUCCAAGGCAUAUUCUGCUCCUGUAGCAAUCUGCACAAUAAGAUCAAGAACUUUUGUCACGAGGCAUUUCUUU
rnacentral:lncRNA from 1 species